rnacentral:rRNA from 1 species
AGAGUUUGAUCCUGGCUCAGGAUGAACGCUGGCGGCGUGCCUUAAGCAUGCAAGUCGAACGGCCCCGCAAGGGGCAGUGGCGGACGGUCGAGUAACGCGUAGGGACCUGCCUUAAAGUUGGACAUAGCUCGUCGAAAGACGGGGUAAUUUCCAAUGUGAACGUAAGUUUAAAGCCGCAAGGCGCUUUAAGAUGAACCUGCGUCCUAUCAGCUAGUUGGUGAGGUAAUGGCUCACCAAGGCAUCGACGGGUAGCUGGUCUGAGAGGAUGAUCAGCCGGAAUAGCACUGAGACACGGGCUAUACACCUACGGGUGGCAGCAACUGGGAAUCUUGCGCAAUGGACGAAAGUCUGACGCAGCGACGCCGCGUGGAGGAUUGAAGGCCCUCGGGUUGUAAACUCCUUUUGGGUGGGAAGAUUAUGACGGUACCACCAGAAUAAGCACCUGCUAACUACGUGCCAGAAGCCUCGGUAAUACGUAGGGUGCAAGCGUUAUCCGGAUUUAUUGGGCGUAAAGUGUUGCGUAGGCUGGUUUGCGCAUUUUGUUUAAAAGGCUAAGGCUUAACCUUAGUUUUGGGCAAAAUAUGGCAAACCUUGAUGGCUUAAGAGGGUACUGGAACUCUAUAUGUAGCAGUGAAAUGCGUUGAUAUGUAGAGGAACACCAAAGGCGUAGGCAGGUACCUGGGAAGCACAUGACGCUGAGGCACGACAGCUAGGGGAGCGAAGCAGAUUAGAGACCUGCGUAGUCCUAGCCGUAAACGAUGAAUGCUAGUUAGUCCCUCUUUUGGGACCGACGUAAGGUAACCCGUUAAGCAUUCCGCCUGGGGAGUACGGCCGCAAGGCUAAAACUCAAAGGAAUUGACGGGGAGGCGCACAAGCAGUGGAGCAUGUGGUUUAAUUCGAUACAAAGCGAAAAACCUCACCAGGGUUUGACAUGUAGAUGCUAAGCCUAAGAAACUAGGCCUCCUUCGAGGGUUCUACACAGAUGGUGCAUGGCUGUCGUCAGCUCGUGGCGUGAGCUGUACCGUUAAGUCGGGUAACGAGCGCAACCC